rnacentral:rRNA from 1 species
GGAGUUAGCCGGUGCUUCUUCUGUGAGUGAUGUCCUUCCUGCCGGCUAUUAACCCGCAGGCCUUCUUCCUCACUGAAAGUGCUUUACAACCCGAAGGCCUUCUUCACACACGCGGCAUGGCUGGAUCAGGGUUGCCCCCAUUGUCCAAUAUUCCCCACUGCUGCCUCCCGUAGGAGUCUGGGCCGUGUCUCAGUCCCAGUGUGGCUGAUCAUCCUCUCAGACCAGCUACGGAUCGUCGCCUUGGUGAGCCGUUACCUCACCAACCAGCUAAUCCGACAUAGGCUCAUCCGAUAGCGCGAGGCCCGAAGGUCCCCCGCUUUCCCCCGUAUGGCGUAUGCGGUAUUAGCCUGGGUUUCCCCAGGUUAUCCCCCACUACCGGGCAGAUUCCUAUGCAUUACUCACCCGUCCGCCGCUCGCCACCAGGGAGCAAGCUCCCCGUGCUGCCGCUCGACUUGCAUGUGUUAGGCCUGCCGCCAGCGUUCAAUCUGAGCCAGGAUCAAACUCUGA